AGUGAACGCUGGCGGCGUGCCUAAUACAUGCAAGUCGAACGGAAUUUAAAAGAGCUUGCUCUUUUAAAUUUAGUGGCGCACGGGUGAGUAAUAUAUAGCUAAUCUGCCCCUUGCUGGAGGACAACAGUUAGAAGUGACUGCUAAUACUCCAUACUCCUUUUUACCAUAAGAUAAAUCGGGAAAGAAUUUCGGCAAGGGAUGAGACUAUAUCGUAUCAGCUAGUCGGUGGGGUAACGGCCUACCGAGGCUAUGACGCGUAACUGGUCUGAGAGGAUGAUCAGUCACAUUGGAACUGAGACACGGUCCAAACUCCUACGGGAGGCAGCAGUAGGGAAUAUUGCGCAAUGGGGGAAACCCUGACGCAGCAACGCCGCGUGGAGGAUGACACUUUUCGGAGCGUAAACUCCUUUUGUUAGGGAAGAAUAAGACGGU
rnacentral:rRNA from 1 species